CGUAAGCAGAGAGGAGAAAACCUUCUUAAAUUAUUCGCCGGAAGUGAUACCGCAUGUAUAGUUCCCCAACAUGGAGGAGAGUCUCGAAUUUGCUCGGAAUAAGUUGGGAAUUGAUUUUUCGCUAAAGGAAAAGCAGUUGGAAACUCUUAAAAAUUUAUGGGAGCGACGGGAUGUUAUAAGUGUGUUACCAACUGGUUAUGGUAAAAGUGUCCUGUACCAAUUACUCCCGUGGUUUUUACAAGGCGAAAGAGAAAGAGCUGGGAUCGUCAUUGUCAUUGCCCCCUUAACCUCGAUUAUUGUAGAUCAAGUUUCUUUCCUUUCCUCUAAGGGGGUAAAGGCCUUGUGCUUGAAUUUUGAAGGAACCGGGUGUCGUUCCGCGGAUGAUGAAGAAGAAACUGUCUCGAAGCUGGUCACAAAAGACAUGCAGCGUAUCACAGAUGGUGAUGUUGAGAUCCUUUACAGUCAUCCAGAAGCAAUUUUCUCUAAAAAGUUUGGUAGAAUUCUGCGCUCAAAAGUUUUUCAGGAGGGUGUCUGUUGUGUGACCAUUGAUGAGGUUCACAUGAUAGAGGAAUGGGGAGAAGAAUUCAGACCAAAGUUUAAGAAACUUGGAGACCUAACCUGUUUGUUUCCAUCUGCAGCACAUUUAUCACUGACAGCAACAGCGACUGAAACCUCAAUAGAAAGUCUUGGAAAAGUGCUACAGUAUAUAAAUCCAGUCAUUAUCAAAGCCAAUCCCGACAGGCCAAAUAUUUUCUUGGAAAAGAUUGUGCGACCUCCUAAUAUUAACAAAGUUAAAAAGUUGGACACAAUUAUUGAACCUCUGUGUGAAGAGCUUAAAGAGAAGAGGGAAAAUUUCCCUGUGACUAUAGUUUACGUGGAGAAUUUAGAAUCAUUGGGUUACUUUUAUCAGUAUGUGAAUUCAGAAUUAAGGGAGCAUCAGUAUGUAGGUGAACCAAAUCCAGAAAACCGUAUCUUUGCACAAUUCCAUAAAGAUUAUACAGAGGCCAUGAAAAGCCAUGUGAUAACGGAGUUAAAAAAAGGAAAACCCUAUACUACGUUUAGUAUUUGCAACAGUUGCACUCGGUAUGGGUUUGGAUGCCAGGUGCAUUACCAGGAUCAUCCAUUGCAGACCCCCUACAACACUUGAAAAAUAUCUUCAAGAAAUUGGAAGGGCUGGUAGAAGUGGAGCCCAGUGCACAGCAGUACUCUAUUUCAAUAAUAAUGACAUUGCCAAAAAUAGAAAGGGACUAAGUGAAGAAGUCAUACAGUAUUGUAAAAAUUCUGAAACUUGCCUCAGACUUUUUAUAUUAAAGUACUUUGGAUUUAACAAUUCAUUAUUCUGCGGACCACCAAAAGAUUGCUGCAGCAAUUGCAGGAGCAAAAGUUUGAUGUGAACUUAAAAGAGGCAAGGGGGUCCCUGCUAUGAAGGAUCAUGCCAUAAAUGGUGGCCAGUGUUGCUAUCUUUUUCUCUGAUGAAUCAACGGUCCCUAAACACAUGGAUAAAACCUCAAAGAGAAGGGGGCAGGUUGACUGCAUUUCAUUAAUGCAAGCCGCAAAGAUGUCGCAACCUUGUAGAAUAUCUGCUCCUUUUUUAAGAAGGACACUUUUCCUCCCAUAAAUCAAUUUUUCUAGUUGUUUGUUGAUUAUUGAAGUACAAUCACUGAAAAUAAA